rnacentral:rRNA from 1 species
UUGACCUCAAAUCAGGUAGGACUACCCGCUGAACUUAAGCAUAUCAAUAAGCGGAGGAAAAGAAACUAACAAGGAUUCCCCUAGUAACUGCGAGUGAAGCGGGAAGAGCUCAAAUUUUGAAUCUGGCGGUCCCCUGUGGCCGUCCGAGUUGUAAUCUAGAGAAGCGUUUUCCGCGCUGGCCCGUGUACAAGUCUCCUGGAAGGGAGCGUCAUAGAGGGUGAGAAUCCCGUCUUUGACACGGACCACCAGUGCUUAUGUGAUGCGCUCUCGACGAGUCGAGUUGUUUGGGAAUGCAGCUCAAAA